UACGAAGGGGGCUAGCGUUGCUCGGAUUGACUGGGCGUAAAGGGCGCGUAGGCGGUUCGUACAGUCAGACGUGAAAUUCCUGGGCUCAACCUGGGGACUGCGUUUGAUACGUGCGGACUUGAGUGCGGAAGAGGGUCGUGGAAUUCCCAGUGUAGAGGUGAAAUUCGUAGAUAUUGGGAAGAACACCGGUGGCGAAGGCGGCGACCUGGUCCGAUACUGACGCUGAGGCGCGAAAGCGUGGGGAGCAAACAGG
rnacentral:rRNA from 1 species